rnacentral:rRNA from 1 species
UACGGGGGAGCAAGCGUUGUUCGGAUUUACUGGGCGUAAAGGGCGCGUAGGCGGCCACCGCAAGUCGACUGUGAAAUCUCCGGGCUUAACCCGGAAAGGUCAGCCGAUACUGCGGGGCUAGAGUGCAGAAGGGGCAACUGGAAUUCUCGGUGUAGCGGUGAAAUGCGUAGAUAUCGAGAGGAACACCUGCGGCGAAGGCGGGUUGCUGGGCUGACACUGACGCUGAUGUGCGAAGCUAGGGGAGCGAACGGG